rnacentral:rRNA from 1 species
AUUGAACGCUGGCGGCAGUCCUAACACAUGCAAGUCGAGCGAGCGGUGGACGGUUGCGUAAUGUAUGGGGACUGCCCGAUUGCGGGGGAUCACUACUGUAAACGGUAGCUAAUACCCCAUACUAUCGUAUAACCCAUAUGGGGUUGGCUAGUAGGUGAGGUAAUGGCUCACCUAGGCGACGAUCCCUUGCUGGUCUGAUAGGAUGAUCAGCCACAGUGGGAGUGAGACACGGACCAGACUCCGACGGAGGAAGCAGGGGGGAAUAUGGAUCCAUGGGCGCGAGCCUGAUGCAGCCAGGACGCGUGUAUGAAGAAGGCCCGAGGGUUGUAAAGUACUUUCAGUCGGGAGUUGUUACCGACAGAAGAAGCACCGGCUAACUCCGUGCCAGCAGCGGAGGUAAGUU